UUUUUUUUUUUUCCCAUAAAUAAUUGUGAUUUUUAUAAAACAAAACAACAAUAGAUUAGCCGUCGGGGAAUUCUGAUUGGUCGACUCACGUCAAACGCAUGAGACACAGCCAAACAAAACACGGCACGUCAGCAUUACACGUGGCUACUACUUCUCAAGCUGGCGGCUCCACUUUAUUUCUCAUUUUACCUCACCAAUAUUAAUAACUUUUCUAGGCUAGGAUUGCAUUUUAAUCCUUUAAGAUUGUGAAAAAAAAAUUUCUUUUAAAAUGUUGUAUGCACAUUUUGGAAAAAAAGUUUCGCUAAUUCAAUUUUGAUAUAUAAUUAUAAUGAUGCCUUUGUUUGGAAUUUAUACAAUCAUCACGCAUUUUCCAAAUAUGGGGAGAUUUCCAUUGCUCUAAAACUCAACAGUCUUAAACAACAUGCAGAUUCUGUAUUUAAUACAAACAAAUACAUGCAAAAUGCCAAAAAAAUAUUGUUCAACCAUAUAUAAACAUUUAAAAUUAAAGGCUAAGCAAUAAUACUAUUACUGACUCCGACAUGGAUAAUGCUAACUAUUAAAAUUUUAUCCCAACUCAACUAGUAGUUACCAAAAGAUUAGAAGAGAAUCUACACAAUUUGAAAAAAGGUAAAUAUUGGAAGAAAAGAGAAUCUCCACAGAUAUUUUUCUUUUAUCUUCUUUGUCUCAAUGGAUUUUUUAUUUUUUUUAAUUUCUUAUAUGAAAAAUAAUGUUUUUAUUUUUGGGGUUUGAAGGAUAAUGUGA
rnacentral:lncRNA from 1 species